AGCAGCCCGAGGAGCACGGCUGUCAGCGUGGAAGAAACAUCACAAGACGCUAAAGUGAGUGAAAAUAAAACUCCAAUAAUCAGAGAGCAUGAUGGUCCAAAGGCUGUAAGAGCUGAAGGGAAGGAGACCGGGGUGGAAGACGCCCAGAAUUUGAAGACACGACCUGAGGGCAUUAAGAAGGAAGACACGACAAGUGCUGAACAUUCUGGAAAUGUGGGUAUCUCUACUUUCCCCCCAAAAAGCCCAUCGAGCACUCGUUCAAAGCGACGCAGAAGGAGAAGAAAGAAGCAAUCUCUGACUGAUGAUAGCUUCGUAUCUCAGGUCCAUGAAACGUCGCACACCAAGAUUACUGAGCGCCUGAGGGCUCUGUCAGCAGUAAAGUUUGGUAAGUGAUAUCCCAUAAUAACUCUGAGUUUAUACCAAGAUAUUACUGACCUUUUAAAAGACACAUUUUCUGAACAGAAUAUUUCUAAUACCAGCAGAGCAUCCGGAAACCUUCAACAAGAGAGUCUAGAUUUAUCAAGACAAAACUACGGCUAAUAUUUGAGACCGAGUUCUAGAUUUAGGCCUAUCUCAUAAAAUUUGGCAUAGAAUAUACUAAUACGAUGCAAGAAUAUAGAUCCUAAAAAAUCUCGCACAAGGCUCCGACAGGGUUUGCUGGUUUUCCGUUUAGCUUCUGAGAGUAGGGACAGACGUAACUGUGGAAAAUCAAUGUGUGAGGUUUAUUUAGCCAAUGUGAAUUUUGGGGAAUUGACAAAGAAAGUGAAAACAAUUUAGCUAGAUCUUUCCUUAUCUGUUAGUUUUCUAGGUUUUGCCCUUUAACGUAAAAUUAUUUUGUUUAAAAACUUACAUUUUCCCCUUGUUAAGAUUUACUUCCAGUUUCUGUUCACUUCCACAAUUUGUUUUCAUUCAGCAUCUUAAUUAUCAUCUAAUGGCGGGGUAAUGUUUGUGUGCGUGUUAAUGUUUAUCUAAUAGUGGGGUAAUAUCUGUGCGCGUGUCAAUGUUUUUAUCUAAUAGUGGGGUAAUGUUUGUGUGAGUGUCAAUGUUUAUCUAAUAGCAGAGUAAUAUCUUUGUGCGUGUUAAUGUUUAUCUAAUGGGGGGUAAUAUCCUUAUGCGUGUUAAUGUUUAUCUAAUAGUGGGGUAAUAUCUGUGCGCGUGUCAAUGUUUUUAUCUAAUAGUGGGGUAAUGUUUGUGUGAGUGUCAAUGUUUAUCUAAUAGCAGAGUAAUAUCUUUGUGCGUGUUAAUGUUUAUCUAAUAGCAGGGUAAUAUCUUUGUGCGUGUUAAUGUUUAUCUAAUGGGGGGUAAUAUCCUUAUGCGUGUUAAUGUUUAUCUAAUAGUGGGGUAAUGUUUGUGUGCGUGUCAAUGUUAUAGCGGGGUAAUAUCUGUGCGCGUGUCAAUGUUUUAUCUAAUAGCAGGGUAAUAUCCUUGUGCGUGUCAAUGUUUAUCUAAUAGCAGGGUAAUAUCUGUGCGCGUGUCAAUAUUUGUCAAAUUGUUAUUUUAGAGAAAAGCUUGUUUCAAGGAAUAUCCUUGAUUUAUUAACAAAAGAAAAACCUCAUUGUUUACUUCAAAAACUGUGGGUUCUAGAAAUGUUAUAAGUUUCUAAUCCUGCUGUAAUUCAAAAUAUUGUCAUUUGCAUUAUGUACUGUGUUGUUUUUUUUUGUUUUUUUUUGGAAAUAUCCAUCAAAAUAUCAUUUGGAAUUAUAAAUAUAUAUUAUUUUGUUGCAGGUAACAGAUUUAUCUUCUUGUUUAUCAUUAUUUCGAU
rnacentral:lncRNA from 1 species